rnacentral:rRNA from 1 species
UACAGAGGUGGCAAGCGUUGUUCGGAAUUACUGGGCGUAAAGGGCGCGUAGGCGGCCUACUAAGUCAGACGUGAAAUCCCCCGGCUUAACCUGGGAACUGCGUCUGAUACUGGGAGGCUUGAGUAUGGGAGAGGGAUGUAGAAUUCCAGGUGUAGCGGUGAAAUGCGUAGAUAUCUGGAGGAAUACCGGUGGCGAAGGCGGCAUCCUGGACCAUAACUGACGCUGAGGCGCGAAAGCUAGGGGAGCAAACGGG